rnacentral:rRNA from 1 species
GAUGAACGCUGGCGGCAUGCCUAAUACAUGCAAGUCGAACGAGAGGAAGGAAAGCUUGCUUUUCUGAAUCUAGUGGCGAACGGGUGAGUAACACGUAGGUAACCUGCCCAUGUGCCCGGGAUAACUUCUGGAAACGGAUGCUAAAACCGGAUAGGUAGCAGACAAGCAUUUGACUGCUAUUAAAGUGGCUAAGGCCAUGAACAUGGAUGGACCUGCGGUGCAUUAGCUAGUUGGUGAGGUAACGGCCCACCAAGGCGACGAUGCAAAGCCGGCCUGAGAGGGCGGAAGGCCACAGUGGGACUGAGGCACGGCCCAAACUCCUACGGGAGGCAGCAGUAGGGAAUUUUCGUCAAUGGGGGGAACCCUGAACGAGCAAUGCCGCGUGAGUGAGGAAGGUCUUCGGAUCGUAAAGCUCUGUUGUAAGAGAAAAACGACAUUCAUAGGGAAUGAUGAGUGAGUGAUGGUAUCUUACCAGAAAGUCACGGCUAACUACGUGCCAGCCGCCGCAGUAA